UACAGAGGGGGCGAGCGUUGUUCGGAAUUACUGGGCGUAAAGGGCGCGUAGGCGGCCCGCUAAGUCGAACGUGAAAUCCCCAGGCUCAACCUGGGAACUGCGUCCGAUACUGGCAGGCUUGAAUCCGGGAGAGGGAUGUGGAAUUCCAGGUGUAGCGGUGAAAUGCGUAGAUAUCUGGAGGAACACCGGUGGCGAAGGCGGCAUCCUGGACCGGUAUUGACGCUGAGGGUGCGAAAAGCGUGGGGGGAGCAAACAGGGA
rnacentral:rRNA from 1 species